AGAGUUUGAUCCUGGCUCAGGAUGACGGUAAGCGACCGGCCUAACACAUGCAAGUCGAGGGGCAGCCCUUGGUAGCAAUACUUGGGUGGCGACCGGCGGACGGGUGAGUAACACGUAUGCAACCUGCCCGUAAUCGGGGGCUAACCCGGAGAAAUUCGGACUAAAACUCCAUGAAUCUGAGAUAUCGCAUGAUAAAACAGAAAAACGCAAGGAUUACGGAUGGGCAAACGGAUGAUUAGCUAGUUGGAGGGGUAACGGCCCGCCAAGGCGACGAUCAUUAGGGGUUCUGAGAGGAAGGUCCCCCACAUUGGAACUGAGAGACGGCCCAAAACCCUACGGGAGUCAGCAGUGAGGAAUAUUGGUCAAUGGGCGAGAGCCUGAACCAGCCAAGUCGCGUGAAGGAAGAAGGUCUUAUGGAUUGUAAACUUCUUUAGCAGAGGGAUAAAGGUUAUUACGAGAUAAUAAUUUGCAGGUACUCUGCGAAAAAGGAUCGGCUAACUCCGUGCCAGCAGCCGCGGUAAUACGGAGGAUUCGAGCGUUAUCCGGAUUUAUUGGGUUUAAAGGGUGCGUAGGCGGGUUUGUAAGUCAGUGGUGAAAGUUUCCGGCUUAACCGGCUCU
rnacentral:rRNA from 1 species